rnacentral:lncRNA from 1 species
ACCCAUGCUUUUUAAAAUAAUUUUAGUCCCAUGGUAGAUGGGGGCAUCCAUCCUUUCUCCCAUGACUUCAACCAAACAUCAGAUAAGGGAGAGGCAGGUGACCACCAAUUGGUAAGGUGGUUGCGGGUCAACCAACCUUCAUUAAUGGCAUUAUCAAUUGGAACAUUAAAGGCUAUUGAAGAGAAAGUGCUACCUUAAUAUGAGCAGUUUGGUUUGCUUAUUUG